GUGAAAUCCUGUAAUCUUAUGAGGACCACCAGUGGUGAAGACGUCUGGUUAGAAUAGGUCCGACGGUGAGGGACGAAGCUGGGGGCGCAAACCGGAUUAGAUACCCGGGUAGUCCCAGCAGUAAACGAUGCCAGCUAUGUGUUGCUGGAACCAUGGGUUCCAGCAGUGCCGAAGGGAAGCCGUGAAGCUGGCCACCUGGGAAGUACGGUCGCAAGGCUGAAACUUAAAGGAAUUGGCGGGGGAGUACCACAACCGGUGGAGCCUGCGGUUUAAUUGGAUACAACGCCGGGAAUCUUACCGGAGGGGACAGCAGUAUGAAGGCCAGGCUAAAGACCUUGCCAGAUCAGCUGAGAGGAGGUGCAUGGCCGUCGCCAGUUCGUACCGUGAGGCAUCCUGUUUAGUCAGGCAACGAUCGAGACCCGCAGUCUUAUUUGCCGGCAUGCCCUUUGGGGUGUAUGGGUACAAUAAGACGACCGCCAGCGCUAAGCUGGGAGGAAGGAGCGGGCUACGGUAGGUCAGCAUGCCCCGAAUCCUCCGGGAAUACACGCGGGCUACAAUGGUCAGGACAAAAAUGUACCGACCUUCGAAAGAGUGAGGUAAUCC
rnacentral:rRNA from 1 species